rnacentral:rRNA from 1 species
GACGAACGCUGGCGGCGUGCCUAAUACAUGCAAGUCGAGCGAAGUUUUUCUGGUGCUUGCACUAGAAAAACUUAGCGGCGAACGGGUGAGUAACACGUAAAGAACCUGCCUCAUAGACUGGGACAACUAUUGGAAACGAUAGCUAAUACCGGAUAACAGUAUUUCUCGCAUGAGAGAUAUUUAAAAGUUGGUUAUGCUAACACUAUGAGAUGGCUUUGCGGUGCAUUAGCUAGUUGGUGGGGUAAAGGCCCACCAAGGCGACGAUGCAUAGCCGACCUGAGAGGGUGAUCGGCCACACUGGGACUGGGACACGGCCCAGACUCCUACGGGAGGCAGCAGUAGGGAAUCUUCCGCAAUGGGCGAAAGCCUGACGGAGCAACGCCGCGUGAGUGAAGAAGGAUUUCGGUUCGUAAAGCUCUGUUGUUAGGGAAGAAUGGAUAUGUAGUAACUAUACAUGUAAGAGACGGUACCUAACCAGAAAGCCACGGCUAACUACGUG